CAAUAGCGUAUAUUAAAGUUGUUGCGGUUAAAAAGCUCGUAGUUGGAUUUCUGCCGAGGACGACCGGUCCGCCCACUGGGUGAGUAUCUGGCUCGGCCUGGGCAUCUUCUUGGAGAACGUAGCUGCACUUGACUGUGUGGUGCGGUAUCCAGGACUUUUACUUUGAGGAAAUUAGAGUGUUUCAAGCAGGCACACGCCUUGAAUACAUUAGCAUGGAAUAAUAAGAUAGGACCUCGGUUCUAUUUUGUUGGUUUCUAGAGCUGAGGUAAUGAUUAAUAGGGAUAGUUGGGGGCAUUAGUAUUGCUUUGUCAGAGGUGAAAUUCAUUGAUUAUCGCAAGACUAACUUAUGCGAAAGCAUUUGCCAAGGAUGUUUUCAUUAAUCAAGAACGAAAGUUAGGGGAUCAAAGACGAUCAGAUACCAU
rnacentral:rRNA from 1 species